rfam:Polaribacter atrinae strain KACC 17473 LPB303_10, whole genome shotgun sequence.
UUUAAUAAUCAAGGUCGAGAACCUUAAAAAAUUAACA